rnacentral:rRNA from 1 species
GAUGAACGCUGGCGGCGUGCUUAACACAUGCAAGUCGAGCGAGAAGUUUUGAAAAGAUUCUUCGGAUGAAAUUUAAAAUGGAAAGCGGCGGACGGGUGAGUAACGCGUAGGCAACCUGCCCCAUACAAAGGGAUAGCAUUUGGAAACGAAUAUUAAUACCUUAUGAAACUUAACUAGUGCAUGCUAGGUAGGUCAAAUAUUUAUCGGUAUGGGAUGGGCCUGCGUCUGAUUAGCUAGUUGGUGAGGUAACGGCUCACCAAGGCGACGAUCAGUAGCCGACCUGCGAGGGUGAACGGCCACAUUGGAACUGAGACACGGUCCAAACUCCUACGGGAGGCAGCAGUGGGGAAUAUUGCACAAUGGGGGAAACCCUGAUGCAGCAACGCCGCGUGAACGAUGAAGGCCUUUGGGUCGUAAAGUUCUGUUCUAGGUGACGAAAACUGACAGUAACCUAGGAGAAAGCCCCGGCUAACUCCGUG